rfam:Anoxybacillus flavithermus WK1, complete genome.
UCACACUACUAGGGGUGCCGGAUGGCGAUGGCUGAGAGGAAAACGUGCAAUCAGUUUUCCAACCCUUUGAACCUGAUCUGGUUUGUACCAGCGGAGGGAAGUAGGCUAUGUUUUCA